UUGCCAGACUCCUACGGGAGGCAGCAGUGGGGAAUAUUGCACAAUGGGGGGAACCCUGAUGCAGCGACGCCGCGUGGGUGAAGGAGCACCUCGGUGCGUAAAGCCCUAUCGGCAGGGAAGAAACAGACGGUACCUGACUAAGAAGCCCCGGCUAACUACGUGCCAGCAGCCGCGGUAAUACGUAGGGGGCAAGCGUUAUCCGGAUUUACUGGGUGUAAAGGGAGCGUAGGCGGCAGUGCAAGUCAGAAGUGAAAGCCCGGGGCUCAACUCCGGGACUGCUUUUGAAACUGUACAGCUUGAUUGCAGGAGAGGCAAGUGGAAUUCCUAGUGUAGCGGUGAAAUGCGUAGAUAUUAGGAGGAACACCAGUGGCGAAGGCGGCUUGCUGGACUGUAAAUGACGCUGAGGCUCGAAAGCGUGGGGAGCAAACAGGAUUAGAUACCCUCGUAU
rnacentral:rRNA from 1 species